GGGAAGGUGGCUCAGUGGUAGAGUGCUUGCCUUGCAUGCAAGAGGCCCUGGUAUCAAUUCCUCAUCACCA
rnacentral:tRNA from 1 species